rnacentral:tRNA from 1 species
GAUAGUGUGGCCGAGUGGUCUAUGGCGCUGGUUUUAGCCACCAGUCUCUUCGGAGGCAAGGGUUCGAAUCCCUUCACUGUCA